rnacentral:lncRNA from 1 species
UUUUUAUAAAUGUGACCCAAUUAAUCAUAUCAAAUCUGGAUUUACUACGGAUAAAGGUCGAUCCUAAUAGAUAUAGAACUAUUUGAUAUGAUAUAUUUUAUUCUUAUUCUAUAUAUUUAAUUAAAUAGAAUACUAAUCAGACUUUGACGGGAAGUUGAUGUAAGUUGAUGUGGACUCUAGAUAAAGGGGUAUUGGUCCUGCCAUACGCAUUCUGGUGAAGAAUUAUUAUCGGUUCCACACCAUACAGUAGAGUGCCUGAAAUAGAAGGAGAAGCCAAACUAUCUAAAUUUAGUUUGUCACUUCCAGAUCAUAGUCGAACUUCUUGCUUCCGCAGAUUGAUCAAAAAAUUUUUCUCUAUGACGCUCUGUAAGUUAUCUUAUUUUAUUUUGAUCCUGAAUUUUGAUAUGUAUUUAAUUUUUUUCUUAUUUUACACUAAAAAAUUUAUCAUAUUAGACCUACAUUCAUCAAUUUUAGUGUAUCUUGUAAUAAUAUAAUUGUUUUUUUUUUUUUUUGAGAGAGAGAUAGAUAGCACGCUACCGGCUUCGUUUAUUUUAUUUAGAAAUAAACUUAGUUGGAAAUGUGAAUCAAUUAGAAUUCGAAUUUAGAUUUCGGGUACCAAUCAUUAAGCACUUUGCCACUUACUUCGGGGACGGUAGGUGUAAUAAUAUAAUUGUUACCCUUUACAUUUACUCCAUCUGUAUC